rnacentral:pre_miRNA from 1 species
UAACGUCACAACUGUCUUAGAAAGUUUGCUUUCGAAGACGGUGCUGACAUCAUCACCGUCUUCGAAAGCAAGUUUUCUAAGACGGUCAUGGUGUUAC